AUGAACGCUGGCGGCGUGCUUAAUACAUGCAAGUCGAACGGAAACAGUAGCAAUAUUGUUUUAGUGGCGAACGGGUGAGUAACGCGUUGGUGACCUGCCCCGAAGAGAGGGAUAACAGUUCGAAAGGAUUGCUAAUACCUCAUGUGGUCAUUAGGUUUAGAAGCUUAUGACUAAACGGAUUUAUUCGCUUCGGGAGGGGCCUGCGUCCCAUCAGCUAGUUGGUAAGGUAAUGGCUUACCAAGGCGAUGACGGGUAGGGGACCUGAGAGGGUGGCCCCCCACAAUGGAACUGAAACACGGUCCAUACACCUACGGGUGGCAGCAGUAGGGAAUAUUAGAAAUGGACGAAAGUCUGAUCUAGCAACACCGCGUGUGCGAAGAAGGCCUUCGGGUCGUAAAGCACUUUUUGGAAGGAAUAGGAAGGAAUGUACUUCCAGAAUAAGUCUCGGCUAACUACGU
rnacentral:rRNA from 1 species